rnacentral:rRNA from 1 species
UACAGAGGGUGCAAGCGUUGCUCGGAAUUAUUGGGCGUAAAGGGUAGGUAGGUGGUCUUAUUUGUCUGGGGUGAAAGCCUUGAGCUUAACUCAAGAAGUGCCCCAGAAACGGUAAGACUAGAGUCUUGGAGAGGGUUCGGAAUUCCCGGUGUAGCGGUGAAAUGCGUAGAGAUCGGGAGGAACACCAGAGGCGAAGGCGGCAACCUGGACAAGUACUGACACUCAACUACGAAAGCGUGGGGAGCAAACAGG